GUUUUCUAGGUAAUGUAACAACUGUUUGACUUGCAAAGUAGGAUAACAAGUUGUAUCAUACACGGUAAUGAGGUAUUAAGUUGAUAAUACAUUCAUAACCUGGCUCACAUUUGCAGCUUUACCGUUAACAGGCAUCCGGUAACGCGUCGCUUUAAAAGUCAACCCCUAGCGUAAGUUGCGUCUGACGGACACCAUGGAUGAAGAACCAGAGAGAGCCAAGCGCUGGGAAGGGGGCUAUGAGAGGACUUGGGAAGUGCUGAAGGAGGACGAAUCUGGAUCCCUGAAAGCCACAGUGGAGGAGAUCCUGUUGCAGUCUAAUGGCACUUCAUAUCAAAAAGGUUGCCGACCCCUGCUCUAGAUGAUAGGAAAGGAGGUUUCAAACUUCCUUUAUAACCUCCUUUAGCUUAGGAACCACUGGACCUCCCUUUACGAAAGGAGAGGAGAAAAUGCUGCCCCACAAUGCCUUGCAGCCGCAGCAUUUGCCGUCACACAACAUUCGGCCGUUCACGGAAAC